CAGCCGCCGCGGUAAUACCAAGGGUGCAAGCGUUACUCGGAAUUACUGGGCGUAAAGCGUGCGUAGGUGGUGGUUUAAGUCCGUUGUGAAAGCCCUGGGCUCAACCUGGGAAUUGCAGUGGAUACUGGGUCACUAGAGUGUGGUAGAGGAUAGUGGAAUUUCCGGUGUAGCAGUGAAAUGCGUAGAGAUCGGAAGGAACAUCUGUGGCGAAGGCGACUAUCUGGGCCAACACUGACACUGAGGCACGAAAGCGUGGGGAGCAAACAGGAUUAGAUACCCCCGUAGUCCCUGUCUCUUAUAC
rnacentral:rRNA from 1 species